CUGGUUACUGCAUAAAGGAAGUAGUGGGACUCAAUAUUUUGUUUUGUUUUUCUCUGUCAAGGAAAAUGAAUUUUGAACUAGAAAGGACAAAACAAAUGUGGCAAUAUGGGAUUGAUACCCACCAUAUAGAAAGAUGAAAGAAAAUAGACACUGAACUAUAUCAUCAGGUGUUGGAAAGAUUAUAGAAGAUAUGAAUGCUGAACCUCAGUCAUUAAACUGUGAAAGAUCAUAGAAAACAGAAGACAUAUCAGAGGACUGAGAACAGAACCAUGAGCAAUGGGUGGAAUUCACACAGAAGAAAAUUUAGGUUUGAUGCCAGGAAAAGUUUUCUAACAGCUGGAUCUGAGAAAAGUGGAAUGAGUUGCUUUGAGAAGAAGGCAGGUUUCCUGUCACUGGAGGUCUUCCAACAAAGGCUGGACCUUCCCCAAUAUGUUAGAAUGGGAAUUUUUUUCUGGUACAGGAAUAUUGCCCAGUGCCGAAGAAUUGAAGUGAUGAAGGCACUGAGAUGUGUCCGAGGGAAGAAGUGGAACUUAACCCAGGAUUCCUUGAUUCCAAGGCUCAUGCAGUGGUCAGCUACUCUAUACUAA
rnacentral:lncRNA from 1 species